CAGCCGCCGCGGUAAUACAGAGGGUGCGAGCGUUAAUCGGAUUUACUGGGCGUAAAGCGUGCGCAGGCGGUUAUAUAAGACAGAUGUGAAAUCCCCGGGCUCAACCUGGGAACUGCAUUUGUGACUGUAUAGCUAGAGUACGGCAUAGGGGGAUGGAAUUCCGCGUGUAGCAGUGAAAUGCGUAGAUAUGCGGAGGAACACCGAUGGCGAAGGCAAUCCCCUGGGCCUGUACUGACGCUCAUGCACGAAAGCGUGGGGAGCAAACAGGAUUAGAUACCCCGGUAGUCCCUGUCUCUUAUAC
rnacentral:rRNA from 1 species